UGGUGGAGUGCUUAGAAGUGAGAAUGCCGGUAUGAGUAGCGAAAGAUCAGUGAGAAUCUGGUCCACCGUAUGACUAAGGUUUCCUGGGGAAGGCUCGUCCUCCCAGGGUUAGUCGGGACCUAAGCCGAGGCCGAGAGGCGUAGGCGAUGGAUAACAGGUUGAGAUUCCUGUACUGGUUAAACUUGUUUGAACAAUGGAGGGACGCAGGAGGCUAUCGAUGCGUACUGUUGGAUAUGUACGUUCAAGCAACAAGUCUGUAGAUGAGUCAAAUGCUUAUCUACUUAAGGA
rnacentral:rRNA from 1 species